AACGAACGCUGGCGGCAGGCCUAACACAUGCAAGUCGAGCGCUCUCUUCGGAGGGAGCGGCGAACGGGUGAGUAACGCGUGGGAACGUACCGAUUGGUCUGGGACAACCCCGGGAAACUGGGGCUAAUACCGGAUGUGCUCUACGGAGGAAAGAUUUAUCGCCAAUUGAUCGGCCCGCGUUGGAUUAGCUUGUUGGUGAGGUAAUGGCUCACCAAGGCUACGAUCUAUAGCUGGUCUGAGAGGAUGAUCAGCCACACUGGGACUGAGACACGGCCCAGACUCCUACGGGAGGCAGCAGUGGGGAAUCUUGGACAAUGGGGGCAACCCUGAUCCAGCCAUGCCGCGUGAGUGAAGAAGGCCUUAGGGUUGUAAAGCUCUUUCAGCAGGGACGAUAAUGACGGUACCUGCAGAAGAAGCCCCGGCUAACUCCG
rnacentral:rRNA from 1 species